rnacentral:rRNA from 1 species
GAUCAUGGCUCAGGACGAACGCUGGCGGCGUGCCUAAUACAUGCAAGUAGAACGCUGAAGGAGGAGCUUGCUUCUCUGGAUGAGUUGCGAACGGGUGAGUAACGCGUAGGUAACCUGCCUGGUAGCGGGGGGAUAACUAUUGGAAACGAUAGCUAAUACCGCAUAACAGUAGAUAUCGCAUGAUAGCUGCUUGAAAGGUGCAAUUGCACCACUACCAGAUGG